rnacentral:rRNA from 1 species
UGUGUCGUGAGGCAUGCUGGAGGUAUCAGAAGUGCGAAUGCUGACAUAAGUAACGAUAAAGCGGGUGAAAAGCCCGCUCGCCGGAAGACCAAGGGUUCCUGUCCAACGUUAAUCGGGGCAGGGUGAGUCGACCCCUAAGGCGAGGCCGAAAGGCGUAGUCGAUGGGAAACGGGUUAAUAUUCCCGUACUUGGUGUUACUGCGAAGGGGGGACGGAGAAGGCUAUGUUGGCCGGGCGACGGUUGUCCCGGUUUAAGCGUGUAGGUGUGUGUUCCAGGUAAAUCCGGUUCACUUUAACACUGAGGCGUGACGACGAGGCACUACGGUGCUGAAGCAACAAAUGCCCUGCUUCCAGGAAAAGCCUCUAAGCAUCAGGUAACAUCAAAUCGUACCCCAAACCGACACAGGUGGUCAGGUAGAGAAUACCAAGGCGCUUGAGAGAACUCGGGUGAAGGAACUAGGCAAAAUGGUGCCGUAACUUCGGGAGAAGGCACGCUGACACGUAGGUGAAGUGAUUUACUCAUGGAGCUGAAGUCAGUCGAAGAUACCAGCUGGCUGCAACUGUUUAUUAAAAACACAGCACUGUGCAAACACGAAAGUGGACGUAUACGGUGUGACGCCUGCCCGGUGCCGGAAGGUUAAUUGAUGGGGUCAGCGCAAGCGAAGCUCCUGAUCGAAGCCCCGGUAAACGGCGGCCGUAACUAUAACGGUCCUAAGGUAGCGAAAUUCCUUGUCGGGUAAGUUCCGACCUGCACGAAUGGCGUAAUGAUGGCCAGGCUGUCUCCACCCGAGACUCAGUGAAAUUGAACUCGCUGUGAAGAUGCAGUGUACCCGCGGCAAGACGGAAAGACCCCGUGAACCUUUACUAUAGCUUGACACUGAACAUUGAGCCUUGAUGUGUAGGAUAGGUGGGAGGCUUUGAAGUGUGGACGCCAGUCUGCAUGGAGCCGACCUUGAAAUACCACCCUUUAAUGUUUGAUGUUCUAACGUGGACCCGUGAUCCGGGUUGCGGACAGUGUCUGGUGGGUAGUUUGACUGGGGCGGUCUCCUCCUAAAGAGUAACGGAGGAGCACGAAGGUUGGCUAAUCCUGGUCGGACAUCAGGAGGUUAGUGCAAUGGCAUAAGCCAGCUUGACUGCGAGCGUGACGGCGCGAGCAGGUGCGAAAGCAGGUCAUAGUGAUCCGGUGGUUCUGAAUGGAAGGGCCAUCGCUCAACGGAUAAAAGGUACUCCGGGGAUAACAGGCUGAUACCGCCCAAGAGUUCAUAUCGACGGCGGUGUUUGGCACCUCGAUGUCGGCUCAUCACAUCCUGGGGCUGAAGUAGGUCCCAAGGGUAUGGCUGUUCGCCAUUUAAAGUGGUACGCGAGCUGGGUUUAGAACGUCGUGAGACAGUUCGGUCCCUAUCUGCCGUGGGCGCUGGAGAACUGAGGGGGGCUGCUCCUAGUACGAGAGGACCGGAGUGGACGCAUCACUGGUGUUCGGGUUGUCAUGCCAAUGGCACUGCCCGGUAGCUAAAUGCGGAAGAGAUAAGUGCUGAAAGCAUCUAAGCACGAAACUUGCCCCGAG